rnacentral:lncRNA from 10 species
GAAAACAAUCAACCCAGAUGUGUGGAUUUUUUUUCCAGCAAUUUUCAGCUGCUAAAGUCCACAUACGUAGAAAGAGUAGAUGAUUGAAUUCAUCCAGGGUUGGAGCAUAUGUAUGCUAGAGAGAAAUUGAGACAACGAAUACAAGCAAAUUUGCAAGAGUGAUUAUGAUGUACUACACCAUCAAAACUGAGAAAGAAGAGUGUGUAGAAGGGACUAAUGGAUGAUUAUCAUAUCUUCCUUUACAUUAAUUUAUCAGACUUAGCCUCUUCUUCUGCUGGUAGUAUUAAUCUCAAGGACAAAGUCAAAAGUAUUUAUAAGGAUUCAAAGAGGUGCUCAUAGAGCUAUUGAGAAAUUUUUUUUAAUUUCUUCCUAGCAUUUAGAAAUAUUCUACUUUAAAAGGUAAGAUAAAUAAAAGAAGAGAUGAAAAAGGAGACAUUACAACCAAUACCACAAAAAUUCAAAAGAUCAUUAGAAGGUAUUAUGAGCAACUGUAUGCAAAUGAAUUGGAAAACCUGAAAGAAAUGGAUAAGUUCCUAGACAUAUAUACCUACUGAGAUUGAAUCAUGAAGAGAUAGACCACCUAAAUAGGCCAAUAACAAGUAAUAAGAUAGACACAGUAAUAAAAAGUGUUCCAUCAAAGAAAAUCCCAGAACCUUAUGGCUUUCCUGCUAAAUUCCACUAAACACUUCAAGAAGAACUAAUAUCAAUCCUACUCAAACUAUUUCAAAAAAUUACAGAGAAGAAAAUACAUCCAAAUUCAUUUUAUAAGGCCAGCAUUACCCAGAUAUCAAAAACAGACAAAGAUACACAACAAUGAAAAAACAAAACCAAAUGCCAAUAUCUCUGAUGAACAUAGAUGGGAAAACUGUCAAUAAAAUACUCGCAAACUGAAUUCAACAACACAUUAUAGAUUAUUCAUCAUAAUCAAGUGGGAUUCAUUCCAGAAAAGCAAGGAUGGUUCAAUAUGUGCAAAUCAGUAAAUGUAAUACAUCACAUCAACAGAAUGAAGGAAAAAAU